GCAGGGGUGGCCCAGCUUGGUCAAAGGCGCCAGGUUGAGGUCCUGGUCUCGUAGGAGUUCGUGAGUUCAAAUCUCACCCCCUGCA
rnacentral:tRNA from 3 species